rnacentral:rRNA from 1 species
GACGAACGCUGGCGGCGUGCUUAACACAUGCAAGUCGAACGGAAAGGCCCUGCGUUUGUGGGGUGCUCGAGUGGCGAACGGGUGAGUAACACGUGAGUAACCUGCCCUUGACUUUGGGAUAACUUCAGGAAACUGGGGCUAAUACCGGAUAGGAGCUCCUGCUGCACGGUGGGGGUUGGAAAGUUUCGGCGGUUGGGGCUGGACUCGCGGCUUAUCAGCUUGUUAGUGGGGUAGUGGCUUACCAAGGCUUUGACGGGUAGCCGGCCUGAGAGGGUGACCGGCCACAUUGGGCCUGAGGUACGGCCCAGACUCCUACGGGAGGCAGCAGUGGGAAGUAUUGCACAGUGGGCGGAAGCCUGAUGCAGCAACACCGCGUGCGGGAUGACGGCCUUCGGGUUGUAAACCGCUUUCGCCUGUGACGAAGCGUGAGUGACGGUAAUGGGUAAAGAAGCACCGGCUAACUACGUG